AUCGGAAUUACUGGGCGUAAAGCGUGCGCAGGCGGUUUGUAAGCGAGAUGUGAAAGCCCCGGGCUCAACCUGGGAACUGCAUUUUGACUGNCAAACUUUGUGUAGAGAGGGUGGUAGAAUUUCAGGUGUAGCGGUGAAAUGUUGCNNAUAUAUGAAGGAAUACCGAUGGCGAAGGCAGCCACUUGGGUCAACACUGAACGCUCAAGUCGAAAG
rnacentral:rRNA from 1 species